rnacentral:lncRNA from 1 species
CAACUUCCAAGAGAAGGGUGGUGGAUGGCUCACAAACCAGCAAUGGUCAAGGGCCAUUUCCUUCUCUGGUCCUGGACUAAGAGGCUGCAAAGGGUAGCGGUUUCUAGGAAGCUGUUGGUUCAACCACUGGGUAAGCCAACAGUGAAGACCAAGAAGGAAAAGCCAGGAACUGUAGGAGUGGAGAAAAAAAUAAACAAGGGAAACCGUCCAGAGCAAACGAGGUAAAAAUGGACAAAGGAGAGUGGCGAAAGGGAUGUUCGGGUGCCAAAGAACAGCAGUGCCACCUCCUGUUAAUUUGCUGCUUACCGAAGAGACAAGAUCAGAAACUUGAAGUUAGAGACGAAAAAAUA